AUGCCUAAGCUGUCCAGUUUCAGGGCUUCUCUUUCUUGGCAGGGAAGCAUGAGAUGCCAUAGCUCUCUGCUCUCUUCAACCCUCUGCCAAAGGAGAGUUGCCCUGUAACAGGACUCAGCUUAUG